rnacentral:lncRNA from 1 species
AAUGCCCCUCAAUAGAGAUGAAAAUAAAACAGAUAAUGUGAGCUAAGCCCUUUCGUACUGGCUAAGGGAAUUGUGGUCUGCAGGGGAGUUUCCUUUUCCUGCUGCUCCCCCUCACCCCCUCCAUGUGCAGUUAUUCCUACCUGAUCGCAGGUGCAAGCCUGGAUUUCUGCUGGGUCUUCUGCUGCCUUGUUAGAAUCUAAGCUGUCAUGUCCACAUGCUCUACAUCUUCCUCCACUGAACUGCGAGCCCACUUCUG